AUUGAACGCUGGCGGCAUGCCUAACACAUGCAAGUCGAGCGGAGCUGCGGACGGGUGAGUAAUGCAUAGGAAUCUGCCUGGUAGCGGGGGAUAACGUCAGGAAACGGGCGCUAAUACCGCAUAAUAUUAGAUGAGCCUAGGUCGGAUUAGCUAGUUGGUGGGGUAAAGGCCUACCAAGGCGACGAACCGUAACUGGUCUGAGAGGAUGAUCAGGAAAACUGGAACUGGGACACGGUCCAAACUCCUAGGGGAGGCAGCAGUGGGGAAUAUUUGACAAUGGGCGAAAGCCUGAUCCAUCCAUGCCGCGUGUGUGAAGAAGGUCUUCGGAUUGUAAAGCACUUUAAGUUGGGAGGCGUUACCAACAGAAUAAGCACCGGCUAACUUCGUGCCAGCCGCCGCGGUAAUAC
rnacentral:rRNA from 1 species